rnacentral:rRNA from 1 species
CAUAGGGGUUUGAAGCGAACCCGGGGAACUGAAACAUCUCAGUACCCGGAGGAAAGGACAUCAACGAGACUCCGUCAGUAGUGGCGAGCGAACGCGGAUCAGGCCAGUGCCUGUGUUGAGUUUACCGGAACGGUCUGGAAAGGCCGGCGCGAUGGGUGACAGCCCCGUACGGGACGGACGAAACACAGGACUCGAGUAGGGCGGGACACGUGAAAUCCUGUCUGAACAUGGGGGGACCACCCUCCAAGCCUAAGUACUCCUCAGCGACCGAUAGCGAACCAGUACCGUGAGGGAAAGGUGAAAAGCACCCCGACGAGGGGAGUGAAACAGCACCUGAAACCGGAUGCUUACAAACAGUGGGAGCCCAAGGUUCGUCCUGGGUGACCGCGUACCUUUUGUAUAAUGGGUCAGCGACUUAAAGUUACGAGCGAGCUUAAGCCGAUAGGUGGAGGCGCAGCGAAAGCGAGUCUGAACAGGGCGUUCAGUUCGUGGCUUUAGACCCGAAACCGAGUGAUCUAGCCAUGUGCAGGAUGAAGGUGGGGUAACACCCACUGGAGGUCCGAACCAGUGCCCGUUGAAAAGGUCUUGGAUGACGUGUGGCUAGGGGUGAAAGGCCAAUCAAACUCGGAAAUAGCUGGUUCUCCGCGAAAGCUAUUUAGGUAGCGCCUCGCGUGAAUACCUCACGGGGUAGAGCACUGGAUGGGCUAGGGCCGCCCACAGCGGUACCAAACCCAACCAAACUCCGAAUACGUGAGAGUACUGCGCGGGAGACACACGGCGGGUGCUAACGUCCGUCGUGGAGAGGGAAACAACCCUGACCGACAGCUAAGGCCCCCAAUUCGUGGCUAAGUGGGAAAGGAUGUGGGACUCCCAAAACAACCAGGAGGUUGGCUUAGAAGCAGCCAUCCUUUAAAGAAAGCGUAACAGCUCACUGGUCUAAAUAAGGGGUCCUGCGCCGAAAAUGUAACGGGGCUCAAGCCACGAGCCGAAGCUUCGGAUGCA